rnacentral:rRNA from 1 species
UACGUAGGGUGCAAGCGUUAAUCGGAAUUACUGGGCGUAAAGCGUGCGCAGGCGGCUUUGCAAGACAGAUGUGAAAUCCCCGGGCUUAACCUGGGAACUGCAUUUGUGACUGCAUGGCUGGAGUGCGGCAGAGGGGGAUGGAAUUCCGCGUGUAGCAGUGAAAUGCGUAGAUAUGCGGAGGAACACCGAUGGCGAAGGCAAUCCCCUGGGCCUGCACUGACGCUGAGGCGCGAAAGCUAGGGGAGCAAACGGG